AUUGAACGCUGGCGGCAGGCUUAACACAUGCAAGUCGAGCGGGGUGAGGUGCUUCGGUACUGAUCCUAGCGGCGGACGGGUGAGUAAUGCUUAGGAAUCUGCCAUUUAGUGGGGGACAACAUUCCGAAAGGGAUGCUAAUACCGCAUACGUCCUACGGGAGAAAGCAGGGGAUCUUAGGACCUUGCGCUAAAUGAUGAGCCUAAGUCGGAUUAGCUAGUUGGUGGGGUAAAAGCCUACCAAGGCGACGAUCUGUAGCGGGUCUGAGGGGAUGAUCCGCCACACUGGGACUGAGACACGGCCCAGACUACUACGGGAGGCAGCAGUGGGGAAUAUUGGACAAUGGGCGGAAGCCUGAUCCAGCCAUGCCGCGUGUGUGAAGAAGGCCUUUUGGUUGUAAAGCACUUUAAGCGAGGAGGAGGCUACCUAGAUUAAUACUCUGGGAUAGUGGACGUUACUCGCAGAAUAAGCACCGGCUAACUCUGUGCCAGCCGCCGCAGUAAAAC
rnacentral:rRNA from 1 species